UACGGAGGAUCCGAGCGUUAUCCGGAAUUACUGGGCGUAGAGAGUUGCGUAGGUGGUUGAUUAAGCAAGGUAUAAAAGCUCACGGCUCAACCGUGAAUCUAUAUCUUGAACUGGUCGACUAGGGUUUGGAAGAGGUAACUGGAAUUCCAGGUGUAGGAGUGAAAUCCGUAGAUAUCUGGAGGAACACCGAUGGCGUAGGCAGGUUACUGGUCCAACACCGACACUGAGGCACGAAAGCGUGGGGAGCGAACGGG
rnacentral:rRNA from 1 species